rnacentral:lncRNA from 1 species
UGAAUAUAGAUACUUACUAUAUAUAAGAAUUGUUCUAGGUGUCACAAUUUUUUUUAAGUGAAUUAAAAACUGUCCUUUUUCCCUUAUGGAUAUCAUAAGCUAGCAGUAGGUGACAAAAAUGUAAACAAAAAAACCCACAUAGCAUUAUAGGUGCUAUGAGAGAGGUCUAAAUGGAGUACGGCGGAGGUAAUCAAGGAGAGAGUGUAAGAUCUGACCUGGCAGGAGGUGAGAAGGGUUCAAGGAAUGUUUUAUGACAGAGACAGAGUUUAAGUUAAAUCUUGACAGGUAAAGUCGUCUUCACUAGGAAGACAAGUUCUACUGUAGUGAUUAUUGGAUAUGAUUUAUCAAUACCUAUCAACACUUAUCUACCUACAAGUGUAGAAAGUGUAGCAGUAAAAAGCUUAAUAUUGAAAGUACUCUUCAUUUUUUAUUGUACGAUAUGUAUGCUUUUAAACCUAUGUGGUUUCUAAUUAAAUGCUUAGGACUCCCAAGCAGAAUCCAGAGAGUGUCUUUAGAAUGAAAAGCUGUACUUUAGUGAUUGAGUCAGUAAUAUAUUAAUUAUCAUUUUGAACUAGCUUGCUGUUGUCUAUUUAUUGGCCUUCUCAUAAAGUAUAUCAUUUAAAUUUAUUGGGAUGGAUUCUCCUUGUAGCAUGUAACAAGCUAUUAAAAACAGUGCCAGUGAAUAAAACAAUUACCCAAAAUCAUGGCUACCAGCUGAGCCAGAGGCUUGAUGGGUUAGUUGUCUGGAAAGCAGUGGCUAUGACAAGAUGGCUUUAUUUAAACCUCUUACAGCCCUGUGCAGAGGCACAAAGAAAACUCAUUUGCAUAUUGUCAGCUUUGUAUUAGAAAACAGACUGGGGGUGAAUUUAAAAGAAAGAUAAUGUCAAAAGAUUUUACAAAGGGACUUGAAGAAAGGUGGAAAAAGAGAAAUCAACAAUUGAAGAAAAGUGGAAAAAGAGAAUCUGCUACAUUUUUAUAUAUAAUCUCAUUUAACCCAAAUAUAGCACUAUAAGUGAAAUGUCAUUGUAUAUAUAUUUAUAUUUAAUACUUGAUGUGAUAGGUUCUGAGAUAUUAAUCAACUAGAAAAAGAAUACAUAGCUAAGCAGACGAACUGAGAUGUAAACCAGACUUAUCUAACAGUGAAGUCCAAACAUCUAUAUUCUACCAAGUUGUAGGUACUCAUAUUUAAUUGAUAUCAUUAUUACUAUCAUUAUCAUCAUUGUUACAUAGUGAUUUGAAUUAUAGGAAAACAAAACAGACUGCUCCAAAAAAGUGACAAGAUGAAGUGUUUCGCCCCUAAAAUUUCUUUUUGUAAAAAGCUUUUUAUUAUGAUUUAUUUGAGAGAGAGGGUAAGGGAACAAGUAAGGGGGAGGGGGAAAAGGAGUGGGAGAAGCAGACUCCUCACUGAGCAGGGAGCCCAACUCAGGCUCAAUCCCAGAACCUUAAGAUCAUGACCUAAGCCAAAGGCAGCCACUUAACUGAGCCACACAGGUGCCCCUUUUUUGCCCCUAAAAUUUCUAAAGAAGGGCCAGAUGACCAUAGAUAAAAAAGGAGAUUUCUGUAUACAGAGGAAGUUCAGACUAAAAAAUCCUUCCCACUUUUUCUAAUUCUUCUUUCUCCAUUAUAUUGCAUGUGGCUUACUCUCUAUCCAUUUGAGAUUACUUCCUGAUAUUUAAAAAUAUCACUUUCAAGAAUCUUUAUCCAUUCUGGUAUUGUUUCUUCUUCAAAUGCUUUCUUAGUUUAUGAACUACUUUUGCCUUGAGACUGAACUACUUGUUUUUGACUCCUCUUGCUUACGCCUCCCUACCCAGCUAGAUUUAGGGCAUUCUCUCUCUCUCUCUCUCUCUCUUUUAAAUUUCCACUGUAUUUUAUUUUAUUUUAUUUUAUUUUAUUUUAUUUUAUUUUAUUUUAUUUUAUUUUAUUUAUUUUAUUUUAUUUUUUCCACUGUAUUUUAAACAUAUUUUUAUUAUUGUUUUACUCUUACUUAUCAGAGAUAACAUAUGUGUUUCCAAAUCUACAUUAUAAGCACUGAGCUUAUAUUAUAAGCUCAUUGGGGAUCAAGAGGAAGUUAUUAAAAAUUAUUAGAGACAAAAUAAAAAACUUAACAGCCUUCUCUGGGGUUGGGAGUGGGGGAAUCUACAAAGCCAAAAUUGCUUCUCAAAUGGAUAGAGAGUAAGCCACAUGCAGUAUGAUGGAGAAAGAAAGAAUUAGAAAAAGUGGGAAGGACUUUUUAGUCUAAACUUGCUUUCUAUACAGAAAUCUGCCAAAAUUGCUUUGUAGAUUCCAAAGACAUGAACACUGCUAUCCCAUAAAGCCAGUGUCACCAUUCACUUUUCUAGACUAUAUUUCUAACUCUGUCUAGUCAUAUUCCUUAAACUAUGCCUUCUUUAUUCCUAUAUAUGGAAGUUUGCUUAUAUUCUGUGACUUCUCAGAAUAAUCUACCUCAGAGAUGUCAAGUAAGUUGCCUACACAAUAUUAAGAUGGUUGAAGGUAGCUGCCUGGGUGUUAGUACAAUAAGAAGGGUGACUCUAUAUGUGUCAAAGAACACCAUGAGGACUCAAAAAGUAUCUAUAUGAGUAAAGACGGGGGCAACAUGUGUGCCUAUGCUGGUGAUCUUAAUGCUGUAUCUUGCAUUUUCCUCAUUCAAAGAUCCCCUCCUAAAACUUUCACUUGACUAGAAAAGACCACAUUAAAGCCACUAAUAAAAAUGCAAAGAAAAAGAAAAAAA